UAUUUUGAUAUGAUGAACAACGUUUUUACCUUGGGACACCUAUGAAAUGUUCUAUGAUUAGUGUAAAGAUAUUUAAACUGAUAUAA
rfam:Stomoxys calcitrans breed 8C7A2A5H3J4 unplaced genomic scaffold Scaffold423, whole genome shotgun sequence.